rnacentral:lncRNA from 1 species
AUGAACCAUGAACUUCCUGAUGUUCAAGCUAGUUUUAGAAAAGGCAGAGGAAUCAGAGAUCAAAUUGCCAAUAUCUGCUGGAUUAUGGAAAAAGCAAGAGAGUUCCAGAAAAACAUCUAUUUCUGCUUUAUUGACUAUGCCAAAGCCUUUGACUGUGUGGAUCACAAUACACUGUGGAAAAUUCUGAAAGAGAUGGGAAUACCAGACCACCUGACCUGCCUCUUGAGAAAUCUGUAUGCAGGUCAGGAAGCAGCAGUUAGAACUGGACAUGAAACAACAGACUGGUUCCAAAUAGGAAAAGGAGUACGUCAAGGCUGUAUAUUGUCACCCUGCUUCUUUAACUUCUAUGCAGAGUACAUCAUGAGAAACACUGGACUGGAAGAAACACAAGCUGGAAUCAGGAUUGCCGGGAGAAAUGUCAAUCACCUCAGAUACGCAAAUGACACCACCCUUAUGGCAGAAAGUGAAGAGGAACUAAAAAGCCUCUUGAUGAAAGUGAAAGUGGAGAGUGAAAAAGUUGGCUUAAAGCUCAGCAUUCAGAAAAAGAAGAUCAUGGCAUCUGGUCCCAUCACUUCAUGGGAAAUAGAUGGCGAAACAGUGGAAACAGUGUCAGACUUUGUUUUUGAGGGCUCCAAAAUCACUGCAGAUGGUGAUUGCAGCCAUGAAAUUAAAAGACGCUUACUCCUUGGAAGAAAAGUUAUGACCAACCUAGAUAGUAUAUUGAAAAGCAGAGACAUUACUUUGCCGACUAAGGUCCAUCUAGUCAAGGCCAUGGUUUUUCCUGUGGUCAUGUAUGGAUGUGAGAGUUGGACUGUGAAGAAGGCUGAGUGCCAAAGAACUGAUGCUUUUGAACUGUGGUGUUGGAGAAGACUCUUGAGAGUCCCUUGGACUGCAAGGAGAUCCAACCCGUCCAUUCUGAAGAUCAACCCUGGGAUUUCUUUGGAAGGAAUGAUGCUAAAGCUGAAGCUCCAGUACUUUGGCCACCUCAUGCGAAGAGUUGACUCAUUGGAAAAGACUCUGAUGCUGGGAGGGAUUGGGGGCAGGAGGAGAAGGGGAUGA